rnacentral:rRNA from 1 species
UACGAAGGGGGCUAGCGUUGUUCGGAAUUACUGGGCGUAAAGGGCGCGUAGGCGGCCUCGUCCGUCCGGCGUGAAAUGCCUGGGCUCAACCUAGGAAUUGCGCUCGAUACAGCGAGGCUAGAGUGUGGGAGAGGUUGGUGGAAUUCCCAGUGUAGAGGUGAAAUUCGUAGAUAUUGGGAAGAACACCGGUGGCGAAGACGGGUGACUGGGCUGGUUCUGACACUGAGGCACGAAAGCGUGGGGAGCGAACGGG